rnacentral:rRNA from 1 species
GACGAACGCUGGCGGCGUGCCUAAUACAUGCAAGUUGAGCGCUUAAGGUUGGUACUUGUACCAACUGGAUGAGCAGCGAACGGGUGAGUAACGCGUGGGGAAUCUGCCUUUGAGCGGGGGACAACAUUUGGAAACGAAUGCUAAUACCGCAUAAAAACUUUAAACACAAGUUUUAAGUUUGAAAGAUGCAAUUGCAUCACUCAAAGAUGAUCCCGCGUUGUAUUAGCUAGUUGGUGAGGUAAAGGCUCACCAAGGCGAUGAUACAUAGCCGACCUGAGAGGGUGAUCGGCCACAUUGGGAAUGAGACACGGCCCAAACUCCUACGGGAGGCAGCAGUAGGGAAUCUUCGGCAAUGGAAGAAAGUCUGACCGAGCAACGCCGCGUGAGUGAAGAAGGUUUUCGGAUCGUAAAACUCUGUUGGUAGAGAAGAACGUUGGUGAGAGUGGAAAGCUCAUCAAGUGACGGUAACUACACAGAAAGGGACGGCUAACUACGUG